CCGAGCUCAUGCGCGUGCACACGCGUCCGCGGCGAUGCCAGUACGGCACCUCGCCCCGCGCCUAUUUAAGGCCUCCCCGACCCCGUCUCUCUUCACCACCGGCCUCCCAUCCUCCUAUGAUCCUGCCUCGUCCCUUACCCGAGCCCCAGAGCUCCUCUUGCUCGUCCAUUGCCGCCGUGGCUGCCUCGGGCCUCCGGCUAAAUUCACUCGAGCCCGAGCCUCUCUCUUCAUUCCAUCACCACCAGAGAUCCACCCAGUCUCCGGCGAGCCUCCCCUGCCGUUUGCCCCUUCCUCCGGUGGCCUCUGGCCGUGACUCCAUCACUGGCCUGAGUUGCUGUCCGCCAUGGCCGAAGCCCUGCCCGUCUCGGUGCUCCUCGGCGUCCGUGUCUAGCCAGGACAGAGGUGGCGCUCUCUCCCGCGCUCGUCGGUGGUCGCUGCGUCCUGCGCGGUGGCCGGAGCUGUGAGAAUGGCCGCCGGCGCCGGCGACCCCGCCCCCUGUUCUGCGCCGCAUCGGGGAAGGAGGAGUGGGAGAGAAAGAUGUCAGCAGCGGGGCCCACCUGGCAGCGAGUCAGCACCAGUCCCGCCUCUACUGACUAGGAUAAGUGGAAGUGUAUUCCACUGGAAUACGUCUUCCGUUUCCGAAAGCGCAGUCUGCUCUUCUUCAGGCCAGAAUACGUUUUCCCUUUGGGAAACAGUAUUUUCAGAAAAGGCGUGUUCAGUUUUUCCGGUUGAGGGCCUGUUUGUGAAGAUUUUCUUACAUAUAGGUCCCUGGCAGAAAAACUAUCACAAAUUUUUGCCCGUAACUCCGAUUGAGCCCCCUCCGAGAGGAACGUUUUUCGGCGAUUCUUUCCGCGAGUUUCUCGCACUUCCUCCCAAUGAAUCCAUCCUUCCUAGGCAAGCCACACCCUCCAUUUGCCUGAUUGCAAUGCAGUGACAUGGUUUAAAUUAUUUGAACUUGUUUAAAAUAUUGUUUUAGCUACAUGUGAUCUGUUCAUGGCAUUUCUCGGAGUUGUUUUUGAUCUUGCUAGUGUCAUGAUAUUCUUUGGAGUUCUAAGUUUAAUAUUUUGCAUCUUAUGUGGAUGACAUGUUGCCUUUGGAUUAUUAGUGGCUAGAAUUAUUUUCAUCAUGAUGAUAGUUGCUAUUAUGUUUGGAGCAUGAUGUAGUAAAUGAUGCUUGCAUGUGGA